rnacentral:lncRNA from 1 species
GCAGACUUCCAGUGUUGGGAGGAACAUUAUGUGCCAAUGAGCUCCUAGUCAACAAAGGUGAGCAAACCCCUGGUGAGGGCACAACCAGGAGGAUGCAGGCAUCUGCUGGAGAAAUGGGCCAGUACCCCAAUGUCCAUGAUGCCUAAUUUCCCCCUUCUCAAUUCUUUGGCUCUCACUCACUGGGGCCUCUGUUUUCCAAAGCAGCAAGCAGCCUGCGUGUUCUGUCCAAAGGGACCUUGGUGGGAGCAGAGAGCCCAGACCACUCAGGUGAACAUGGAAGAAUGGAAGGAACAUCUGCAACACAGAGAUGGCAUGCACUGGACACAAAGUGGAGAGAGGAAUCUAAGCGCCUGGACCGGUAAACUCAUCUCUAGAGAGAGCCGGGAUGGGCGUGAAGAGUCCGAAAGUUCCCCCAGUGUGGCUACUGGAGCCAGGCGGAGACCAAGAAGGAGCAAUCGGGCAGGCAGAGGAAGGAAAGUCCGUCUUGCAGGCCGAUGGGCGCUCUCAUGUCUACAGCUGCAGGGAAACCAGAUUCGGCCUCUCCUGCCACCCUCGUACCUUAAUCUUCACUCUCCUGGAUCCUCUCUCUCCUAUUUAUUCCAUCUGUUUUCUCUUUCCCAGUCUGUGCCUCUCUCCUUGGGCUCUGUCUCUGGGCCCUGUCUCUGGGCCUCCCCCUGCACCCUCCCUGCUCAGCCCUGUCAGCCAGGCCCAGGCCCCCAGGACGCGGGAUCCCCAGCAGCCACCGGCACGUGCCAAUCUUCGCCCUGGCGGAGGCGUCUCCAUGGGCCGCGGGCCCCGUGGCGCGCCUCCUGCCCGCGUAAUGCGCUCUAAUAUUUAUUUACAUGCCUUUCAGACUAUUAUUUAUUAAAGUAUCGCUGCCAAC